AGUGAACGCUGGCGGUAGGCCUAACACAUGCAAGUCGAACGGCAGCACAGAGGAGCUUGCUCCUUGGGUGGCGAGUGGCGGACGGGUGAGGAAUACAUCGGAAUCUACUCUGUCGUGGGGGAUAACGUAGGGAAACUUACGCUAAUACCGCAUACGACCUACGGGUGAAAGCAGGGGACCUUCGGGCCUUGCGCGAUUGAAUGAGCCGAUGUCGGAUUAGCUAGUUGGCGGGGUAAAGGCCCACCAAGGCGACGAUCCGUAGCUGGUCUGAGAGGAUGAUCAGCCACACUGGAACUGAGACACGGUCCAGACUCCUACGGGAGGCAGCAGUGGGGAAUAUUGGACAAUGGGCGCAAGCCUGAUCCAGCCAUACCGCGUGGGUGAAGAAGGCCUUCGGGUUGUAAAGCCCUUUUGUUGGGAAAGAAAUCCAUCUGGUUAAUACCCGGGUGGGAUGACGGUACCCAAAGAAUAAGCACCGGCUAACUUCGUGCCAGCCGCCGCGGUAAGAC
rnacentral:rRNA from 1 species